rnacentral:rRNA from 1 species
AGAGGUUCGAUCAUAGCUCAGAUGAACUUUGGCAGGAUCUUUUUUACACAUACCCAAGUCGAACAGCCUUUGGACUUCAGUCGGUAGCGAGUAAACGAACAGGUGAGUAAUGUAUCAGAACGUGCCUAGUAGCCAGGGAUAACUACGCGAAAGCGUAGCUAAUACAUACGCCCUUCAGGGGAAAGCGGGGACCUUCGGGCCUCGCACCUCUUCUCGACGGCCGAUAUCGGAUUAGCUAGUUGGUAGAAUCACUGCGCUCACCAAAGCAUGACAAUCCGUAACUCGUUUGAAGGACGACCAGCCACACUGGGACUGAGACACGGCCCAGACUCCUACAGGGAGGCAGCAGUGAGGAAUUUUGGACAAUGGGGAAACCCUGAUCAGCCAUCCCGCGUGUGCGAUGAGAGGCCUUCGGGUUGUAAAGCACUUUUGGCAGGAAAGAAACGGCACGGGAUAAUACCCGUGCAACUGACGUACCUGCAGAAUAAGCACCGGCUAACCGUGCCAGCCGCGCAGUAUCACGGCGAGUGCAAGCGUUAAUCAGAAUUACUGGGCGUAAAGCGAUACUGAGCAGUUCGGAGAAGAAGAAUGUGAAAUCAAGCUUAACUUUUGGGAACUGCAUUUUUAACUACCGAGCUAGAAGUGUCAUCAGAGGAGGUGAUUCCGCGAUGUAACAGUGAAAUGCGUAGAUAUGCGGAGGAGGAACACCGAUGGCGAAGGCGGCCUCACCAGGAUAACACUGACGCUCAUGCGAAAGCGUGGGAGCAAACGGGGAUUAGAUACCCUGGUAGUCCACGCCUAAAACGUGUCCAACUGGCUGUUGAGGCCUUCGGGCCUUGGUAGCGCAGCUAACGCGUGAAGUUGACCGCCUGGGGUACGGUCGCAGUUAAAAACUCAAGGAAAUUGACGGGGACCCGCACAAGCGGUGGAUGAUGUGGAUUAAUUCGAUGCGACGAAAAACCUUACCUACCCUUGACAUGUCUGGAAUCCCGAAGAGAUUUGGGAGUGCUCGCAGAGAACCGGAACACAGGUGCUGCAUGGCUGUCGUCCAGCUCGUGUCGUGAGAUGUUGGGUUAAGUCCCUGGCAGGCGCAACCCUUGUCAUUAGUUGCUACGAAGGGCACUCUAAUGGGGACUGCCAAUGACAAACCGGAGAAGGUGGGGAUGACGUCAAGUCCUCAUGGCCCUUAUGGGUAGGGCUUCACACGUCAUACAAUGGUCGGGACAGAGGGUCGCCAGCCCGCGAGGGGGAGCCAAUCCCAGAAACCCGAUCGUAGUCCGGAUCGCAGUCUGCAACUCGACUGCGUGAAGUCGGAAUCGCUAGUAAUCGCGGAUCAGCAUGUCGCGGUGAAUACGUUCCCGGGUCUUGUACACACUGCCAUCCCCCUUCAUAGAAUGUAGGUUCCCCAAAUGAAUGCUUCUAACCGUAAGGAGGGCGAUUACCACGGUAGGAUUCAUGACUGGGGUGAAGUCGUAACAAGGUAG